rnacentral:rRNA from 1 species
GACGAACGCUGGCGGCGUGCUUAACACAUGCAAGUCGAACGGAAAGGCCCUGCUUUUGUGGGGUGCUCGAGUGGCGAACGGGUGAGUAACACGCGAGUAACCUGCACUUGAAUUUGGGAUAACUUCAGGAAAAUGGGGCUCAUACCGGAUAGGAGCUCCUGCUGCAUGGGGGGGGUUGGUAAGUUUCGGCGGUUGGGGCUGGACUAGCGGCUUAUCCGCUUGAUGGUGGGGUAGUGGAUUACCAAGGCUUUGACGGGUAGCCGGCCUUGGAGGUUGACCGGCCACAUUGGGACUGCGAUACGGCCCAGACUCCUACGGGAGGCAGCAGUGGGGAAUAUUGCACAAUGGGCGGAAGCCUGAUGCAGCAACGCCGCGUGCGUGAUGACGGCCUUCGGGUUGUAAACCGCUUUCGCCUGUGACGAAGCGUGAGUGACGGUAAUGGGUAAAGAAGCACCGGCUAACUACGUG